UACAGAGGGUGCGAGCGUUGUUCGGAAUUAUUGGGCGUAAAGGGCGCGUAGGCGGUGCGGUAAGUCACCUGUGAAAUCUCCUGGCUCAACUGGGAGCUUGCAGGCGAAACUGCCGUGCUGGAGUGUGGGAGAGGUGCGUGGAAUUCCUGGUGUAGCGGUGAAAUGCGUAGAUAUCGGGAAGAACACCCGUGGCGAAGGCGGCUCUCUGGGACGGUACUGACGCUGAGACGCGAAAGCGUGGGGAGCGAACAGG
rnacentral:rRNA from 1 species